rnacentral:lncRNA from 1 species
CUGGCCCGCACACCUGGCGGGGCCGGCGAGUUGAGAUGCCCCCGCCGGCUGGCGGAACUGUGCGCCCCGCCCGCCGAGGCCCGCUCCCCCUCGAGGCCUGAGGCCCAGUUCUAUAGGGGCGCGAGAGAGCGGCGGCGUGGGGGGCGCGGAGGAAGCGCCGGCCCCCGCCUCCACCGCCUCCUUCGUGGUUGCGGCCCAGGCCGAACAGGGUACCGUGCCCCGGCCGCCUUGGCCUUGGCCACCGCGAGGUCCGGGGCGACUACACCCAGCAGCCCUGUGGCCCUCCUACUGCUCUGGAGACCUGGAGUGGGGUUACAGAGGGAAGCGACUCGCUGCGAGCUCCCCAUCGAAUAUGGAGCCACCAGGUCACGGGACGACGUGCGCUCUACAGAAUGUGAGACAAGGGCCCUCCACACCCAGCCAUUCAGGCCUGAGGUCCUGGCUCCGAGACUGAGGCCGAGACGCGGCAAGCCCCGCGCCGGACCAGCUCUGCCCCUCCCGCACCCACGUGUCUGCGCACAGCCCUCCUUUGCGAUAGAACCCCCUUCCUGGUUCUCCACCACUAAUGAUCUGCCGGAAUUAAACUGGUAACUUUCCCUGCCCUUGAACCGGGAGUUUCGGGAUGAGUUUGCCAAUCCCUGUGCUAUUUGUAACCAGCCCCGUGACACGUGAUACGGAUCCAACUGUGCUAGUUUCCACACCAGGGGUCAGGGCACGGUGGAAGGUGAGUCAAGGGUUCUCUGCCCAAGCGCAGAGGUGCCCUGAGCCACGGGGACUUCCCAGCCCUGCCUUCUCUUCUCAGCUUCCUGUCUGCCUUGCCUGAAACCCUAUCUAGAGUUAAGGCCAAUGGAUGAAACUUUUCAAUGUGCAAGCAAGCACUUUACCUACCUGAUACAACAAGAGAUUCCUGGUCAUGCUCACUGAAGGUAAAGUAUGAAGCAGGCUUAGCUAAUCAUCAGAGGUGAGAAGAGACUUAAAGAACCAGUCAGAGAGGUAAAGAGGGGAGGGGGUUACCUGGGCUUUAGGGUUCACCAGGGAGGCAGAACGGACAAGUUCUUGCCAUUGGAAUUUGGUGGGGCACUUGCCUGGGUGGCCAAAGGUGGACUUUUUCAUAGCCAGGGUGCCCGACCUCUGUAAAUCCCCGCCAUAACUAACAGCCCUGAUUACUGUCGAAAUGAACAAUGCCAACACUCACGACCCCUUGCUUUGUGGUUCUUUGCUACAUCUCUCCAGCAGUUCAGAAAAGGUUGGAGGCAGCAGGGGACAGGAGACUGAGAAAAACAGUCAUUUGUCAGUUGAGGAAACUGAGGUCCAGGCUGACAGAGGUAAAGUAACCUCUGCAGCUGGUUGACAUGCAGAGAAGGCCUGAGCCAGAUGCAGAUGCGCUGACCAUUCAGUGUUUCUCCCGCAGCACACCUGUCACUCAGAGAACACACCAUGCUGUGAACCCAGAAAACGCCCUCAUGGCCUUGUGAUGCCAAGCACGUUUAGAUUAUUAUAACAAUACAGGCACUGUGUCCCAAGGACAUUGCAGUAAUCUAUGUUUGGGGUGGAGAUAUCCUUCCUGGUCCAAGUGUCAAGGUAUACCACCUUCUGGAAGGGCACCAAAGCAUGUCCAGCGAAUGGGCAGAUACCCAAGAGUGGAUUGUACAACAGCAGGCACUGGCUUUCUAAGAACUCAGGCCCUCAUUAUAGGAUUUGUCCCCUCUGACACAGGCCUGUGAACAACUCUUCAUUGUGCAAAAGGGUUUCCUUGUCCUUUCCCUACUCAUUCUUCCCUUCCCCCUUAUUUGAAACUGAAUCUCUGGCCAUGUCAUGUGCAGGCCUGCAAGGGGCCUGUUGAUACAGCUGCCCCUCUGGUGCCACAUGACUGCAGGCUCACCACCCAUGACAGACUUGAAUAUCCUGGCACCAAGGACAAUCAGAUUAGCCUCCACUUGGUAUAUCUGCUGUUCUCACUGUUUGUGUCUAUGAGAGCCUGUUUGACUAAAUUAAACUCCUUGGAAAUUGAUCAUCGAUUAUGUAUGAAAGACAUACCCACCAGCCUUUGAGGUACUUAUCUUUGUAGCCCACCUAGCCUUAGGAGAGAAGCUGCGUGGCCUGGUCACUAUCUAGUGGUCUUCCCUGGCCUGUGUGGUAGUGAAAAAGAUAAAAGCCAGACCGAAUCCUUAGAAAAACAGCAUCAGAACAAGAUUAAAAACCUCGAAUUCAGUGACUGUAGAAGCAUAAAGCAGAGGCAUGUGUUCAUGUAUUUAGCCAGCACAGAUUUACCAACUACCAAUAAAACACGGAACUUGUAUUUUAUUGAGGAGAAAGGCAAUAAAAUAUGUAAGUUAUACAGAGAAUUAGAAAGUGAUUGAGUGCCAGGGAGAACAAUAAAUCACAGAUGGGGACUGGGGAGCACCCCAUUUUAAAUAGGGGAGUUAAGGAAGGCAUCUCUGAGAAGGUGAGAUUGCAGCAAAAACUUGAAGGGAAUGAGGAAGCAAGUGUAUCAAUGAUCUAUUAUUGCAUAACAACUUACCCCAAAACUUUGAAGUUUGAAACAGCAAAAAUGUAUUCUCAGGGUUUCUGAUCAGGGUCAGAAACUGCAAGUGGCUUAGCUGGGUACUUCUGGCUGAGCCUCUCAGAGGCUGCAGUCUAGCAGUUGGCCAGGGCUGUGGUCAUCUGAAGGCUGGACUGGGGCUGGAGGAUCUGCUGCCAAGGUGGCACAUUCACAGGGCUAUUGGCAGGAGGCCUCAGUUCCUCACUAUGUGGAUUUCUCCACCCAGCCUCCCCUCACGUGAGUGAUCCAAGGGAGAGCAAACAAAGGGGAAGCUGUGGUGCCUUUUCUGACGAGGCUCUGCACUUCCAUACCAUCACUUCUCUUUAUUCUGGUCCUUAGAAUUGAGUCACAAAGUCAAGGGGAAUGGGAUUAGGUGCCACCUCUUGUAGGGAAGAGUAAGAAUUUGUAAGCAUAGUUCGUGAUUUUUUGUGGGAAGUAGGGAAGAGUGCUUCAGGCAGAAGUAACCACAGGUGCAAAGGCCCUGAGGUAGGAACACACAUAUUAGCAUAUUCAAAGGAGAGCAAGAGGCCAGGGUGGCUGCAGUUGGUGAGCAAGGGGGAGAGUAGGAGAGGAGGUCAGAGAGGAAAGGCAUGUGCAGGGCCAAGGGCACCAGGUUGUGCAGGGCCUUUAAGUAGGUGGGAAGCCUUUGAAUGGUUUUUGAGCUGAUGUGAUGAGCUUUGACAGUGAUGUGAUCUGAUUUCUUUUAAAAAAGAAAUUGGUGGCUGUUGCAGUAAGAAUAGCCCAAGGAGGAGCCAGGAUGGAUGGGAAGAGGCCAGUUAGGAGGCUGUGGUAACAACCCAGGAGUUAUGUCUGUAGCUUGUGUAUGAAGGUGAUGAAAGGGAUGAGACUUUGGAUAUAUCUUGAAGAUAGAGUCAAUGGGAUUUUCCAUGAACCACAUGUGGGUUUUGAUUCCAAGGUUUUGGAUCUGAGCAAGUGGAAGAAUGGUUCUGGCAUGAGCAAGAUGGGGAAUCCUAAGAGUGGGACAAGUUUGAGAGGAGGAGCUUCAGAGUCCAUUUGGGGACAUGUUAAUUUUGUCCAUUAGACAUCCGAGUAGAGAAGCUGAGUAGGCAAUUGAAUAUGGAGGCUUGGAGUUCAGGAAUUCGGAAGGAAUACUUUCCUGUGGUCUGUGAGUGACAUUACAAAAUUGAGGAGGCUGGGCUCCCUCUCUGGAAGAGUAACAAUUAGUCCUUUGGAGGGUUCUAAACACACAAAGCAAGGGAGGGGCUGGUGCCAACCAAGUGCAGUUUUCAGAUGUUUCUGGGGUGCAGAGCACAGCUAGUGCGGCUGGGAGGCAUGAGUUUCACCCAGAGCAGGGGGCUUCUGCUGCUCUGUUCCCAAAACAGUGCCCUAAGGAACACAUAUCUUUCACUUCAACAAGACAGGCCACGUAUUUCUUCCCAGGGCACUGCCAACCCUGAGAAGAAACUCAGGGCAAGUGGAUUGACCUGCAGAAUUCAGUGGCACCAUUUUUCAGAAUUCAUAAGAUGGCAGAAAGACAAUCAGCUAAUCAAGUCUGCCAACUUCUAGGUCUCUUUUCUCUUUUGGUCUCUUUCUAAUUCUGCCCCAAAUUAAUCUUAGCACCCAGAAGCACACAUUUCCCUGCUUCCAAUUUCUGAUGUUUUCUGAGCCCCAGCUGGGCUUGGUUUAUAGGAAUUUAUUCUUGAGCGCUCAGUCUUGGGUCCAUGUUUCAACACAUAUUUCCAGGACUCCCAAUGACUCCUCUGAACCAACCUGGGCCCCAUCCAGCUGUAUAACCCUGAAAAGGGUGUACCAAAGUCCCUGGGAUAUUUUCCUCCUCCCUAACCCCCAGGUCGGACUUAGACCCAGGGGCUUCAGAGACAUAUCAGGAGUGCAAGUAGAGGCUGACUAAUUUGGAAAGCUUGAAUUAAGGGUUUAGACUGGCUCCCUUAGCUGAUCCUAGUGCAAAGGCUAAUCUUUUGCAGAGUCAUUUUAUGGCGUGAGAUGGUGCUGUUGAUUUUGCACAGUUAAUAACAGCUCAGCCUGAGUGCUGCUAGCCUUAGCCAAGGGUGUAGAAUGCAAGCAGUUGUUUCAGCGAAAGUAAGAAUUUGCUGGGAGCACACUUGGCUUUUCUGAAGAGGCCUCUGCACUGCCAAGGGAGAAAGACCCCCCCUCAACAGUGGCCACAGCAUCUGGUCUGUGGCUAGAGGAGACCAACGUGUUGAUAUUAAGAGUUCUUUGGAAAAGUACUGUCUCUUCACUCAUUCACUGCUGACUGGAUCCCAAAGAAUGCACUGUCUCCCCAGCAUGCAGAAAGGGGAUGAAUCAAACUGAGUUUAGAUCCUGGCUUUGUCACUUACCAGCUGUGUGACCUGGGGCAAGUAAACAUCUUUUCUGUAUCUUAGUGUUCUCAUCUGUAAUGUGAGAAUAACCAGACCUACCUCGAAGGAUGUCUUGCUUGAAGAGUAAAUAUCUGGCACAUGGAGAGUGAUCAAUAAAUGGAUUUCUCCUUAACUACUACUCGUCUAGCUACACUCAUCUCAUCUUCCACCUGUGGCUCAGGAAGCUUGAGCUGAUGAAUCCAUGGAGACUGUAAAGAAAUAGCAGGGGAGGUCGAUCAGGGUGCUCACUGAGAGCAAACUGUGGCUCUGUUGAUUUCUGAUGCCCAGUUGGCAAUGGUUGGAGUUCCCAGCCUGCCAGCUCAGCUGUUUCUCCCUAUAGCGCAUCUCUCAGUUAUUUCUAGGAGUUCUUAAAGGUGUGCAUCGCAUCAUCUCAAAAACCAGCCCGUCCAACUUGUGUUAUCUGCCCUGUUGAUCUACCUUUGUUUUCCCAAGGUCUGCAGCCUCCAAAGCUUCUGAAAUGGGACUUGCUGCUGCUGGUAUCUUUAGAGGGGCAUGUGGUAUCCUGCCAAGGGUGAUUCCUUAGCCUGUCAGUGGCCCAGGGCUCAGGAUUCUACCUGCCUCACAUCUCCUGGAUCCAUCUGCAUGUCUUGGCCCAAUCUCCAUAUCCUCGGUUCUGGCCCCUCCACUACCUGGUUGCCACUGAUGAUUCCAAGGAUUCAGAUCAGCUCACAGUGCUCCAAAAAUAUAGCAAAGUGAAACAAAUGUGCAAAUAAAUGAUAAAAACAAAAGAAGAAAAAGAAAGAAAAGACUUAUUGUAUAUCCUACCUCCUUCAAACAGCUUGCUGUGAUGUGCAUGGUGGUGUGGGAACCUUCUGAUGUCAUACAUACAGUUGGUUGGAGCCACAAGAUCAAAUCCUGGCUCAUGGAAUAUGGUCAGAAGUGAUGAUGCCAAUUCUUCUGGGCCUGGCCCAUAAAAACUCCCAUCUAAUCUUUGCUUUUUCUUCAUCUGCCGGCCAAAUGAAGAUUUUAAGCAGAAUCACAGAAUGGGAAGAGCCUGGGCCCCUGAAUUACUAUAUGGAGCAGAACUCCUCCUCAAACCUACUUAUGACUGUGAUAAGAGCAAUGUAGUAAGUAUUGUGCUUAGCUAUUGCAGCAGCUAGCAUCAUUUAGUCUAACAGAGGUGGGAAUGGGAUGAAGAGGAAAAAGGAAGAAAACGAUGGGCAUAUGGUAUGAAUGGUGAGUGCUAUCAGAUCUUUCCACAGGUUCCUCUGCCCUGGCCUACCUAGAUAAAUUAAGCUGUUCCUUUUUUAACACAGAUUGGCAACAUUUUUUCUUUUUUUCAGACAGGGUCUCACUUGGUCACCCAGGCUGGAGUGCUCUGGCACAAUCUUGGCUCACGGCAACCUCCACCUCCCGUGUUCAAGCACUUCUCCUACCUCAGCAUCCCGAGUAGCUGGGACUACAGGCAUACGUCACCAUGCCCAGCUAAUUUUUAUAUUUUUUGGUAGAGUUGGGGUUUCACCAUGUUGGCCAGGCUGAUCUCGAACUCCUGACCUCAUGUGGUCUGCCCACCUCGACCUUCCAAAGUGCUGGGAUUACAGUAAUGCGCCACUGCACCCAGCCCAAAAUUUUCAAUAGUUAGGAUAAAUUCUUUCUUUUCUAAUUUCCUUCUUUUGCUCCUUCCUAAAUUUACCAUUUUGGGAGGCUUGAUUGUCUUAACUAAUUCUUUGGAACAUUAUGAUUUUUGAACUGUCUGAGACUGUGUUCCUGAGCAACUGGUUAGGAAGAAAGUCUGCAAAAAUUUAACAUCAAUUUAAAUAUAUCUUAAAAUAUAUUAAAAAUAAUCCCUUGUUAAACAAUUUUGACACUUUGGGAUAUACUCCAAAUGAAGCUUUCUAUAUAACCAAUAAAUAACAGUUCGAUCUGUACGCCUGUUCAAACAGUAGUACAAAGUUAAAAACCAAUUACUUGGCCAGCUUGCCUUGUCCUAACAUUAUGAUAUAGCUAUUACUAUCAAGUACAAAGACACAUAAACC